rnacentral:lncRNA from 1 species
CUCACCGCUCCCGAUUAUACUACUGCCAAUGUCCAGUCUCUUGACAACAAGGUAGACAAAAUUCGAGCAAGGGUUGCCUUCCAGAGAGACAUCAGAGAUUGUAACAUUCUCUGUUUCACGGAAACAUGGCUCUCUCUGGAUAUGUUGUCAGAGUCGGUACAGCCACCCGGUUUCUUCACGCAUCACGCCGACAGAAACAAACAUCUCUCUGGUAAGAAGAAGGGCGGGGGUGUAUGUCUUAUGAUUAACGAAUCAUGGUGUGAUCAUAACAACAUUCAGGAACUCAAGUCCUUUUGUUCAUCUGACCUAGAAUUCCUUACAAUCAAAUGCCGACCACAUUAUCAACAAAGAGAAUUCUUUGAUUAUAAUCACAGGCGGGAUCACAGCCGUAUCCCCCCCCCCCCCCAAGCAGACACCUCGACUGCCGUGAAAGAACUUCAUUGAACUCUAUGUAAACUGCAAACCAUAUAUCCUGAGGCGGCAUUUAUUGUAGCUGGGGAUUUUAACAAAGCUAAUCUGAAAACAAGGCUCCCUAAAUUUUAUCAGCAUAUCGAAUGCGCGACCCAGGCUGGCAGCAUUCUGGAUCAUUGCUACUCUAACUUCCGCAACGCAUACAAAGCCUACCCUCGCCCUCCUUUCGGCAAAUCUGACAACGACUCCAUUUUGUUGCUCCCAGCCUAUAGACAGAAACUAAAACAGGAAACACCCGAGCUCAGGUCUGUUCAAAGCUGGUCUGACCAAUCUGAUUCCACACUUCAAGAUUGCUUCGAUCACGUGGACUGGGAUAUGUUCUGGAUAGCCUCAACAUUGAUGUAUACGCUGAUUCGGUGAGCGAGUUUAUUAGCAAGUGCAUGGGUGAUAUUGUACCCACAGUGACUAUUAAAACCUUCCCCAUCCAGGAACUGUGGAUAGAUGGCAGCAUUCGCUCAAAACUGAAAGCGCGAACCAUCGCUUUUAAUCAUGGCAAGGCAACUGGAAACAUGACCAAAUACAAACAGUGAAGCUUUUCCCUCCGCAAGGCAUCUCCACCCCGCUGAUCCUCAACACAGGGGCCCCACAAGGGUGCGUUCUCAGCCCUCUCCUGUACUCCCUGUUCACCCAUGACCACGUGGCCAUGCACGCCUCCAACUCAAUCAUCAAGUUUGCAGACGACACUACAGUGGUAGGCUUGAUUACCAACAACGACGAGACGGCCUACAGGGAGGAGGUGAGGGCCCUUGGAGUGUGGUGUCAGGAAAAUAACCUCUCACCCAAUGUCAACAAAACAAAGGAGCUGAUCGUGGACUUCAGGAAACAGCAGAGGGAGCACCCCCCAAUCCACAUCGACGGGACAGUGGUGGAGAAGGUGGAAAGUUUUAAGUUCCUCGGCGUACACUUCACUGACAAACUGAAAUGGUCCACCCACACAGACAGUGUGGUGAAGAAGGCGCAACAGCGCCUCUUCAACCACAGGAGGCUGAAGAAAUUUGGCUUGUCACCGAAAACACUUGAUGCACAGAUGCACAAUCGAGAGCAUCCUGUCGGGCUGUAUCACCGCCUGGUACGGUAACUGCUCCACCCACAACCGUAAGGCUCUCCAGAGGGUAGUGAGGUCUGCACAACGCAUCACCGGUGCAAACUACCUGCCCUCCAGGACAGGAUGCUGGCAGAUAAAUUUCAGUGCAACAAUGUCUCUGGAAAAAGUCCACAUUAUUUUCAGGAUUAUCCGAUUCGAUAACCGAGACACCAGACCAGCUUGGCGACAGAGAGACAAGCUAGCUGCAAUCAGGUCAGUGUGGGACAAGUGGGUGGACCACCUGCCACUGUUUUACAACCCUGGGCCCAACGUUACCGUUGAUGAGCAGUUUAUGCCAUUUAGGGGCCGCUGCCCCUUCCGGCAGUACAUACCGACUAAACCCGCAAAAUAUGGAAUCAAGAUCUGGGCUGCCUGUGAUGCUGCUUCAUCAUAUGCGUGGAACUUGCAAGUGUAUACAGUGAAGCCAGAUGGAGGAGCCCCUGAGAAGAACCAAGAGAUGCGGGUUGUCCUGGACGUGACACAAGGACUCCGUAGCCACAACAUGACAUGCAAUAACUUUUUUACUUCGCACAAGCUGGGACAGGAGCUGAAAUCUCAAAUCCAGAGGAGGUAACAUAUCCCAAGGACCCCAGCUUCUACAGCCAUCGUGAGGAGGAUUCAGGAGGAGGAUGCUGGUGCCCCAUCCACCUGACCCACAGAACCAACAACUCCAAUACCGGAAAUUGCAGCUGGUAGCAACAAGAAGAAGCGCUGAGAUGUGUGUGGACCCAAGAAGGACAGGAAGACACAAUACACAUGCAUCAAGUGUAAAAAAUACAUUUGCAACACACACACAGUAAACCUCUGUCCCUCAUGUGGUGUGUAGACCGGCCUUAAUUUGUGUUCAAUGGGGCUCAUUUAUCAUUUCCAUAAAAUACUGUAUGUAAAUUUCUCCUUCCAAUUUGUUCAGUUCAAAACAAUAACCAUUAAAAAAACGUGAUUUUUUUUGUUCAAGAUAAACAUUAUUAUUCCACCCAUGUCUUGAUUAUAAUU